rnacentral:rRNA from 1 species
CCUACGGGAGGCUGCAGUAAGGAAUAUUGGUCAAUGGACGCAAGUCUGAACCAGCCAUGCCGCGUGGAGGAUGAAGGUCCUCUGGAUUGUAAACUUCUUUUAUUUGGGAAGAAACUCCCGAUUUCCAUCGGGUUUGACGGUACCAGAUGAAUAAGCACCGGCUAACUCCGUGCCAGCAGCCGCGGUAAUACGGAGGGUGCAAGCGUUAUCCGGAUUCAGUGGGUUUAAGGGGUGCGGUAAUGGAGUGGUAAAAUGUCCGGGCUUAACCCGGAAACUGCCAAUGAUACUAUUUGUCUUGAAUACUCUGGAGGUGAGCGGAAUAUGUCAUGUAGCGGUGAAAUGCUUAGAUAUGACAUAGAACACCCAUUGCGAAGGCAGCUCACUACGGAAAUAUUGACGCUGAGGCACGAAAGCGUGGGGAUCAAACAGGAUUAGAUACCCGAGUAGUC